AUUGAACGCUGGCGGCAGGCCUAACACAUGCAAGUCGAACGAGUGGCGGACGGGUGAGUAAUUCUUUGGCAUCUAGCUUAUGGAGGGGGAUAACUACGGGAACCUGUAGCUAAUACCGCGUACCAUAGGAUCAGCCCAAGUGGGAUUAGGUAGUUGGUGAGGUAAAGGCUCACCAAGCCGACGAUCUCUAGCUGAUCUGAGAGGAGGACCAGCCAAACUGGGACUGAGACACGGCCCAGACUCCUACGGGAGGAAGCAGUGGGGAAUAUGGCGCAAUGGGGGCAACCUGACGCAGCAAUGCCGCGUGAAUGAAGAAGGCCUUCGGGUUGUAAAGUUCUUUCGGUAGAGAGGCGUUAACUACAGAAGAAGCACCGGCUAACUCCGUGCCAGCAGCCGCGGUAAUAC
rnacentral:rRNA from 1 species